GUGAUGCAUCACUCCAUGAAACCUCAUCCCACCAUCACCGCCACGCUGCUGGACUUCAUGCGCUGGGUAACAACACCUGCCACACUCAGUGUGGGGGUUUGUAUGGGGGAAUAGAAGCAUGAAGGUGUGUCAGGAGGACGACGUCUGGCUGCUCUGCUGCCUCACCCUCUCCAUUUACACCAACACUCAGAUCGAGAUCUGAAUGUUUCUAUCUCAGUUCCCAGAUAAGACGCUGUGGAGUGUUUAGGUGCUCAACAUGAUCGUAGCCAUCAUCGACUCCAAACAGCUGCAGGAGCUGAUGUGUCACAUGAUGAUGGGGACCCUGGUGAUAUUCAUGAAGGACUCUGUGCUCAACAUCUCUCAAAGGACACCCAUCGUCUUUUUCUUGUGUCCAGUUUAGUCUCUAGACUGGGAGACCUUCGAGCAGUACAGCACCUGGCAGCAGUUCCUGGCUCACAGGAUCCCCCUGGAGGCCAUCAUCCCCAUCCUGCAGCACCUUAAAUAUAAAGAACACCCGGAGGCCUUGUCUUGUCUGCUGCUCCACAGAGAGAAGUACGACAGUAACACACCUGGACACUCGUCUUAGAGACUCCUGGGCCCCCGUUAACAUCUGUGUCCCAGGCCGAGUGAGAAGAUGGUCCUGAGUCGUCCCGGUCACCUCAAGGACCAGUUCACCACCAGCAUCCUGAGACACUUGGUGUCCAAUCAGGGCUUAAACAGUCAGUAUUUGAAGCCUACUGUUUCACACAAUCUUUAAUGAUUUUCAGUAAACUACAGUAACACUCAAAGCAUGGCUGCCUCCUCCUCGUUCAAAUGACAAGCGAAUGCGAGUGGCUGAAAGUGACAGUGAAAGUUAACGGAGGAUAAGAUCAGCAUUAAGUUGUCAGCUUACAGCUCUGUCUAAUGUACACCUUGAUAGUUAAAUUAAAAGUACGGUGUUGACCACUGGGGAGCUGAGGUUAGUAAUGUUAAAGCGAAUUACGGAUGCAAACUACCAUUAGUCCUUUUAAGCUAAUGAGGACAUUAUUCUUUUGGAUUUUGAUGUACAAAUGAAAUGCUUGUAGUAAUGCAGAAGGGAAGGCAUGUUGCCUAUUUAUGCUAAUUUCUACAAAUGUAUAAAGCAGUAAAUUAAGACACAAAAGGCAACAUGAAAAUCCUAUCUGUAAUGAUUGUGAGGUCAUGUGUUUUCCUGCCAUUAUAAGGUGGUGAGGCUCAAAACUGCUUGGUGCUGCGCAAUGAAUAUAAAAUCAUUGUGGAGAGCAUCAAAACUAACCAAAUGAAUUUUCCCAGAUCAAAUGGUUAGAAUUCAACCCCAGUAGACUUAUUUAGCAUGUUUUGCUCCCCUGAGUUUAUCCAUCAGCAGUAGGUUGUGUUACCUACCAGUGACCCAUUUUUCACGUCAGCAGGUCCACCGCAUGCCAGCUUGUUAAUUACGGAGCUUGUCAAGGUCAUCGUUCAUCCCGGUGUUUCGUUGUUGAC